CGGCAUCCCAUCAAUUUUGUCAUAUUCUUUUCUUUAGAAGCAAGUCACAAGGUCUGGGAUCAUCAGGAGCCAUGUCAGAAUGCAAUAAUAUCUAUUUUGUGGGAAGGGAGCCACCACCCCAGGCUGGGCUAACUCUCAUGAGGACACCACUAACAUUGUCUGCGUUUCAUUUACGUUAGACAGGCAGGUCUACAAUGUUUGAAGUUUACAGAUUU
rnacentral:lncRNA from 1 species